GACGAACGUUGGCGGCGUGCUUAACACAUGCAAGUCGAACGGAAAGGCCCUGCUUUUGUGGGGUGCUCGAGUGGCGAACGGGUGAGUAACACGUGAGUAACCUGCCCUUGACUUUGGGAUAACUUCAGGAAACUGGGGCUAAUACCGGAUAGGAGCUCCUGCUGCAUGGUGGGGGUUGGAAAGUUUCGGCGGUUGGGGAUGGACUCGCGGCUUAUCAGCUUGUUGGUGGGGUAGUGGCUUACCAAGGCUUUGACGGGUAGCCGGCCUGAGAGGGGGACCGGCCACAUUGGGACUGAGAUACGGCCCAGAGUCCUACGGGAGACAGCAGUGGGGAAUAUUGCACAAUGGGCGGAAGCCUGAUGCAGCAACGCCGCGUGCGGGAUGACGGCCUUCGGGUUGUAAACCGCUUUCGCCUGUGACGAAGCGUGAGUGACGGUAAUGGAUAAAGAAGCACCGGCUAACUACGUG
rnacentral:rRNA from 1 species